GACGAACGCUGGCGGCGUGCUUAACACAUGCAAGUCGAACGCUGAAGCUUGGUGCUUGCACUGGGUGGAUGAGUGGCGAACGGGUGAGUAAUACGUGAGUAACCUGCCCUUGACUCUGGGAUAAGCCUGGGAAACUGGGUCUAAUACUGGAUACGACAUGUCACCGCAUGGUGGCGUGUGGAAAGGGUUUUACUGGUUUUGGAUGGGCUCACGGCCUAUCAGCUUGUUGGUGGGGUAAUGGCUCACCAAGGCGACGACGGGUAGCCGGCCUGAGAGGGUGACCGGCCACACUGGGACUGAGACACGGCCCAGACUCCUACGGGAGGCAGCAGUGGGGAAUAUUGCACAAUGGGCGAAAGCCUGAUGCAGCGACGCCGCGUGAGGGAUGACGGCCUUCGGGUUGUAAACCUCUUUCAGCACGGAUGAAGCGAAAGUGACGGUACGUGCAGAAGAAGCGCCGGCUAACUACGUG
rnacentral:rRNA from 1 species